UGAGCAAUCUGCCCUUCUCUUCGGAAUAAGCGUUGGAAACGACGUCUAAUGCCGAAUACGACCUCCUUUCGCAUGAUCGGAGGUGGAAAGCUCCGGCGGAGAAGGAUGAGCUCGCGGCCUAUCAGCUAGUUGGUGUGGGUAAUGGCUCACCAAGGCGAAGACGGGUAGCCGGCCUGAGAGGGUGAUCGGCCACAUUGGAACUGAGACACGGUCCAGACCUCCGUAGGGACG
rnacentral:rRNA from 1 species